rnacentral:SRP_RNA from 1 species
GCUGGGCGUGGUGGUGGGCGCCUGUAAUCCCAGCUACUCGGGAGGCUGAGGCAGGAGAAUUGCUUGAAUCUGGGAGGUGGAGGUUGCAGUGAGAUCACACCACUGCACUCCAGCCUGGGUGACAGAGCGAGACUCUGUCUCAA